UCGUUCCGGGUUUAUUUUCAUCCCACCACUAUCGUUCGGUUUUUUUCGUAGGUUUUUUUGUUCGGUCCACCACCUCUCCUCCGCUGGUUUUACCGUCGCGAUAGAACCAAUCCCUCGCUAGCCCUACCUCGUCUCCCGUCUCCAGUCGCAGCCGCCGCCGCACCCCAAUCCAACCCCGCCGCCGGCGAUCUCCUCGCCCCCCUACGCCGCCGCCCCCAACCUUCUAUUCCUCUCCCAACGGAAUCCCAAGGGAAGGGAAGGGAAGGGAAGGCAAGGGAAGCGAAGGGAAGGGAGAGAGAGCGCCUAGAUCCACGGCGGCAUCAGCGCGCCGUCGUUGACCUAAUCCGCGUCCGUCCUCGAGGGAGGUCGGCCAUGGAGGUCCGACCCGGCCCGGCAGCAGCCAUGGACGGACGGAGACGCCCCAAACCCUACCCUCAACCUUCAACCGGAUCUUCCACCACACCACAUCGGCCUCCCUGAUUUCACGCAGGAGCUCCACUGCUUCCAGAACGUCACCUGCUUCCAGGUACGUCUACGUGCGUGUAGCUGUCUUCUUUUCUUACUCAAUUCAUAGUUGUUCAGUUUUAAUGUCAUUUCUGAAGUCGAAAUGCACUGAUUUUAUUAGGGAUUUUAGCACUGCUUAAAUUUAGGGGGACAUUAAUUUUAGUUUCAGUUUGGUCAAUGGACUGGAUAUGUAGUCUAAUUCGCAAUCCCCUUUGUGACAUAUUCAGGUUGUGACAUUUUAUAAUUGAUCAAUCUGUAAUCCCUAAUUCUUUUUAAUUAAAAAUUCAGGAGGCGAAGCUCUCUUUUACGAUUUUGUGAUGUUCUUGUUGAUUGUGCCUUCAGUAUGUCUCCCUAAACUCUAGCUCGGUCGUGGGAGAGAGAGAAUUCAGAGAGGAAGAACACGCAGAGACACUGAAGUUUUUUUGUGCCGCGCUCUACAUCUGCAGCUUUUCUGUUUUACCCUUUUUAUUCAUCAAGAGUACACGAUCGUGCCUGAGCAACGUGCUCCACUACUGACCACGUCCAUCCCCAUGAUCCGAGCUUCGUGCUGGGCCUACUACGACUAAGCCAAGGCGCACAAAACGCAACCAAUUGGCGAGGAAAAACUGCUAAUGGAAAAACGACUGGCUACUGACGAAACUGAAUGUGUCUAGCGACACUUAUCUGAAAAAUGACUAAAUUCAGAGAAGGGCGAGGGAGACAGGGUUUAAGCCAACACAGUAUUCUCGGUGGCUUCAGCAAGUAGUAAUGCAAUAGGCUAAUGUUUGAUUAGUGAAAUUUGUGCAGCAAAUAGUAGUGUAGCAGGCCACGGUGUGUGAUAUUUGUAGUGCAAUGGAUGCUGAAAUCUGUGUGUGCUAUUUGUAUGUGCAAUGUGCAGGCUGUGUGCAACUUCAUAUGCAAUUUCAGAAUAGAAUACUACUGUAUCUAGCUCUGAAUUACAAGAGAUUAUCAACACUUAUAUAUUCAAUGUACAAGUUCUGAAUUAGAGUUGAUUAUGACCACUUUUUGUAAACAUCCUUAUAUGUUUGUAUUGUGUCCAAGAAGUUGUCAUCUUUCCGAAGACAAAGUAUGGGUUGAGUAAGCUGUUUGGUGUUGGAAUCAGCGAGGUUGGUCAUGUUGGUGGUAUUCUCUUAUGUGCACGCCUCUGAACACCCAUCAAGGGGGAAUGGUAUGUUUCGAUAAUCCAAUGAUCAAUUUCUGGUGGUACGUCAUAUUUUUCAUGGUAAUGAUGGUGUGUUUCCUUUUAGUUUUUGUCAUGGUACUACCUUGUUCCUAACUUUGAAAAAAGAACAGAUCAAGAGCAUUAGUGAAACAACCUCUAUCCAAAGAGAAAGGGUUAAUCAUGGAUCUUCAUAACUGAUGCAAAGAAUCUUCUAACUGUUUAGUAGCUCUGAGAGAUAAUUAACCCAUUUGAGGUUUGGAUAUGCAAUUUAUGCCCUAUAUAGUAAGCUAGAGGGCUCUUUCUGAUUCUUUGUGUGUGUAUAGAUACGCAGGUUCUUAGCAAUGAGCCGUUCUGGUUAAUUCUUAUGCAUGUGGUUGCUAUGCCUCUCUUAGUAUUUCUGUGAUUUUUCAUGCAUUUAGUUCUGCUUCCUAUCCAAACAUGGUGUUCAGUUCACUAUCUUUUGUUGUGCACAAUGCUUGGAUAUGCCCUACGGAGAAUUCUCAAAAUUCUUAUUCUUUGAAUUGUAUAGCUUAGGAGCAUUUGUUGUACGUAAGCACAUACAGAAAUAAGAUUUUAUCUACUUCUGAGGAUAUGGUGGUAGAAACAACAAGGAGCAUGACCAGGAUAGGAUAGUACAGAGGGCUCUGCCAGUGCACUACAUCACAGAUGUCAUCUGUAGGAAUGAUGGCAUCAACUGUCAUUUGCACGUUUACAGAUUCACAAUGGAGGUGUCAUGAUCUCUAGCGGUAGCUAGCCUGGUUUGGAGGUGUUGAUCCUUCACAUCACAUUCGGAACCGUUCGCUCUUUGGUUACGAUUUGGCUGCCAUAUAGCGGAAUCUGGCUGAAAAAGGGAAACCAAACAGGGCCAAAAAUUCUUCGCAUUAUUCAGGUAUGCAGGAGAAUAAUGGAGUUGUUCGAUCUGGAGUUUAUUCCAAGGUGCAAAAUUUACCAAAAUGAACUAUAAUGCUAAUGAUUUUGUUCCAUUUAAUUUCUUGGGAGUUGUCGCACAUUAAAUUCUUGCCGCAAUCCCUCUAUAAAUUUUUAGGCGUUCUGAAUUUUGAUGUAGCCAUUCGUCUCAUAGCUGCAAUCGGAAGGCCAAAUUCAAAGUUCGGUCUUUUUCUGGAAACUGAAACAGUGGCAUAUAGUAUUUUCUUCCACUCUAUUAUAUCCUCUUGUUUUCUAGAGAACUGAUCAUACCUAUCUUGCUGGAUUUGUUUAUGAUCUAUGUUUUACUCUGGGUGUCUCUUGACAAAAAUGGAUAUGAAUGAGAGGCGCUCCAAGGAGCAAGAGAAAUCAUGUGUAAAUACAAGUGCACUUUGAUUUUUUUGAUGCCAUUUAUAUAACUACAAUAUUAAUGAUGGUUGUACAUAGAGUUUUAGACCUGUGGCUCUUUUGUUUACAUUAUGAGAUGUUCGUUAUCUAGGUAAAACUUGGGAACAUGUAUGGAUGACAAUACUAUAUGGAUUUGAUCAUUUAUUGACUAAUUAUACAGCGUAUGAACUUAUAGAGUUUAGAGUUGUUUAUCAUGUUCUAAUGCUGGAGUUAAAAGUUUCAUGUAGCUAAUGCCAUCAUCUUUAUAAAGAGCGGCAACAUACUCCGUAAGUUUUCACCCUACUCUAGGAAGCCAUUUCAUCAGUUUUUGGCUUCUGACACACUCGGAGCAACAAAUUUUGUGCUGCUAAUUGUUCUGUCCUCUCCGUUCUCUCUCUUUGCACUUACUUGUGAUUUUUGCUUAUGUCCGCGUACAGAUUUCAUCCAGGAAAUUUAGUCCUAGGGACUUUGAUAUACAAUGAUACACCAAAGCAAGCAAAGAAGCCAAAAGAAGUUAAAUGUUUUUACCUGCUGCUGGCAUCCGAUGAGCAGUUGCAGGUGUCAACCAUAGUAUUGUUAUAUGAAGUGAGAGUUGCAUGUGCUUAUCUGAAGCUUAUACUAAUAAUGUGCCUCCCUAAUUGUGGCUGAUCUGGAGCUCAUACCCAUGUUGGGAAUUUGCAGCAGGUCUGAUCCCUUGCGCGUGCUCCUCCGCUUGCCCUCUCGACCCUCCCCUUGCUCAUCGCCAUCCAUUUUAUUCAGAGUGUAGAUGGCGGGCAAAACACCUAAGCUCCAGAGCAAGGAUGAAAAGCACUCCAUACACACUCACAAGGAUGAUGAUCCAUCUGUUUCUAGGAUGGUGGGACUUGAGGUCAAACUGCACAGGUAUGCACCAGAUUCAAGGAUCAGCUACUUGAUGAAAUAUACAGGAGACUCUCCUACUCAACAUUACCUUAAAAAAGAAUCAAGGAUCAGUUCAAUGGGAAUUGGAAUGAUGAAAACACUUGUUUGAGCACAUCUGAUCCUCAUAAUAGCAUAUUUUUAAUAAAUCACUGUAGUCAAAUCACUUUUUUUUUUAUAAUUUCUAUAGUAAAAUCACUUACUAUUGUGUAUAAGUGCCAUUAAGGAUAAUCCUAGAUCCGCGGGAUAGUUUGGAAGUUAUACCCAAGGCAUUAUAAUUGCUCUAUAUUAUUAUUAAUUUCGUAUAUCAUCACCUUAGACUACUCGAACUGUCGGCCAUGCUUUGUGAUUAAACAAUUCUUGACUGAUUAAAUCCAUUUCAAGUGUAAUGCAAGUGUUGAAUUGUGAUCCAUGAACAGCAAGCCCAUUUGGGGAAUGUAUUUGAACAAUGACCCAAGCAGUCGCACAAGUGGAUCUGCACAUAUUAUUAUCAAGAAGCUUGACAAGAAAACUGAAAACAAAUAAUUAGAGAAGAUUAACCGGGCGGGAGGAGAGGGAAGAAGGGAUAAAGAGAAAAGAAAUACAUAGUAAAGUUAUAUUGAUUAAAGAGUUCUAGCAAUGCAUCUGCUUCUAACUAUAUAUAAAGAUCUUGCAUGUGAUUAACCGGGCGGGAGGAGAUGGAAGAAGGGCUUGGCCACUUGGAUCGUGAGAUGACUAUUCGGUUGACCAUUUGUGCUAUCUAUUCAAUGUCAUGCAUCAUAGAAACAAAGAUUAGUUUUGUUGUUGUGGAUUUUGCAGGAAAACAGAGUAGGUCAUGGUGGAUGAAGAGAACAUUAACCGACAGACUUUUCGGUUGCUGAUCAAAUAUAAGAUAUGUAAUUUUCUGGUUCAGUAAUAAACGGGCAAUUCAACUUAUGGCUGGGGCAGCCUGAUUUCCUCCUACACACGCCCGCUAGCAGCAGCAGUUACGACCAGGCGGUUGCGGAAGGUGAUAGGUGUGGUGGUCGGCGGUGCCUGGGCUAUUGAUGUUCGAUUUGAGAGGAAGAAGAGAGAUUGGCUGCUGAUUUUGGGAGGAAGAAGAGAGAUUGAGCGUGCUGUUGCUGCCGUGUGUGGUCUUGGGAGAGGAAUAAAAGAGAGUAGUAGAGAGCUUUAGAGAGAUAGCAAAGGAUUGAGAGGCUACUCCUAUUUGUAUUGCUGUCGAUGCUUGCACAAUGCCAUUGCUUAUUAUACUGUGUUAUUCAUCUUUGAAAAAAACAAUCAUUUUCUCCCUUCAAUAGUUUAGUCAUGACUUAGGUUUACUUACUAGCCUCUCUUCAUAAUUAUUUUUGGAUUAAAUUUAGCUUUUUAAAAAGUUGCAAAGAAUAGGACUAUUUCAUGCAUCCCGGCAGAUA